rnacentral:rRNA from 1 species
UACGGGGGGGGGCAAGCGUUGUUCGGAAUUACUGGGCGUAAAGUGUGCGCAGGCGGCUCCGCAAGUCGAGUGUGAAAUCCCCGAGCUUAACUUGGGAAUUGCGCUCGAAACUAGGGAGCUGGAGUGUGGCAGAGGAGGGUGGAAUUCCGCGUGUAGCAGUGAAAUGCGUAGAGAUGCGGAGGAACACCGAUGGCGAAGGCAGCCCUCUGGGCUAACACUGACGCUGAGGCACGAAAGCGUGGGGAGCAAACAGG